CCUACCACGGGUAAACAGCAACACGCGGCGGCUUGCCGGAAUUCGCAAUCAAAAAAUAAUGAAAAAGUAACCAAUAUGGCAAAGAUAAUGUAUAACUCUGGAAGCAAGAUGAAAUGGAUGAACACAAAAAGGAACACAAGUCACUAAUAAAAAAAGAAAGAUAGACAGGAAAUCUAACAAAGAUAAAAAACUAGACGCUAAAGAAAACAGGUUGUGCAAACUAUGCAACGAAGAUCGCAAAGAAUAUAUGACCCAAUGUAUUAAAUGCAAAGGAUGGGUACAUGAUUUAUGUGCAGGUCUUAAAAUUAAAACAAAAAAUUACA